CGCGACCCGGCCUCGGAUAAAGCGGAUGAAGAUGGAUGGAUGGAGCAAUGCAAACCUUCCUUCACAACAAAAGAUGGGCAUUUCUAGCCUGGAUGAAAUCCUGCAGGCCAUAACUACUGCUGUGAAUACAGAGGAAGAAUUAUGUAUCACUGUCUCAAGAUCCAAUAUGGUGGAGCGGGGACUUGCACAGUGGAAGAGGCAAAAAAAGGCAUUGCCUACAAAUCAGCUGAGGGUCACAUUUAUAGGAGAGGCAGGAAUUGAUACAGGGGCAUUAUGGAAAGAAUUCCUUACAGAAAUGGUUGCAGGCUUGGAGCAAAGGCUAUUUGAGGGUGACCAGACUGGGAAGGCUCCCAAAUAUUCAUUGCUGGAUCUUGAUCUAGGAAACUUACGUAGUGCUGGUGAAAUUUGGGCGGUUAGUCUGACGCAAGGUGGGCCACCACCCUGCUGCCUCAAAGAUUGGUGUUACCAGUACUUGUGCAAUGGAGAGCUGUAGAUUGAGAACAUUAUGAAAGAGGAUGUCUGUGAUGUUCAUUAUACUUCUAUUAUCUCCCAGUGCUGUUGUUCUUCAUGCCACACUUCGGUUGGUGCCUCUUCUCUCCCAGCUACGUGAUGGUCUAAAACUUUAUGGUCUUACUGAUCUACUGAACCAGUACCCAAACAUCUACCAAUCACUGUUUGUCCCCGGGGUGGAAGUUAAGGCUGAUGCUGACUUUCUUUUUGCAACAUGCAAUUCUGAGUUCAGCGAGAAGGGCUCCAACAAAGAACGGGUGGGAAUGAGGAUUAUGAACCAUCUACAGGACUUCUUGCAAGAGCUGGAAUCACAUGAAGAGCCUGAGGCCAGUGACCAUCCAGUCGUCCUUUCCCCAAGUUCAUUCAUACAGUGGCUCAUAGGACAAGGCCACAUUCCUUUCCUGCCAGAUGAGAAGAUAAACUUCAAAGUCUCUGUGCAGUUCAACCACUCAUGCCAUAUUCAGUAUGGCGCACAUGAAGUUUGCUACCCAACCGUUACAGCAUGUAGUAACACAGUCAAACUACCUGUUCAACAUAUGCAAACUUAUGAAGCGUUCAAGCAUGUGAUGACAAACGCGUUCCACUAUAGUCA